rnacentral:lncRNA from 1 species
AGAAUAUAUGUUCCCAAAGAAAUCAAAUGUCGCUGCUACGAGGACAUGGUGCUAGAAGAUUCCUCUCUUUCUGAAGUAGUCUUUCAAAUGAAACCUGUUCUCCAGCCAUUAAGAAAAAUAGUGAUGCUUAUAAAGGGUUGAGGGACAAGGUGGCCGGCGAGGAGUGCGGCCGAGGUGCUUGGAGACCACGAGCGAGGAGGAGACCCGGAGCGUGUGGCCGAGUCCGAGAGGCACUGGCGCGCAGAGGUGAGUACUCACACAUCYGGAAAGCAAACCCAAGGGCCUGUUGUCUUCAGGUACCGAGAGAAACUGCCACCACAGGAGCUGAACAGAGCUGGGCCAGCGGCAUCCGGCUGCCGCCCUUCCCCAACCCAUCUCUCCCCGCAGGGUACAGCCGUCCUUUCCCCGCACCACUUUGCAGCCCUGCGGCUCGGCCGUGCGUUGCCCACCGCCAGCCUCGGGACGGGACGGGAGCGCUGGAGUUACUGUCGUGGGCUGCGGUGUGAGGCCAGGCCACGGGUCCGGCCUUCAGUCUGCCUGAUCUUUACCAGAAAUGACAGAAAGCGGCAGGAAGAGCUGCAGGACGGAUGCACCCCGACGGGGGACCCGGCCUGCUCCCGGGGCAGCUGGCAGAGAGCAGAAGGUGCCUGGGCA